AAAACUCCAAGGAAUUGACGGGGGCCCGGCCCAAGCGGGAGGAACCAUGUGUUUAAUUCGGAUGGAUACGCGAAGGAACCUUUACCCGGGGCUUGAAUUGCGACUGACUGCCAUCAGGAGAUGAUGUUUUCCCAGCCAAAUGGCAGUCGUGAAGGUGCUGCAUGGGUGUCGUCAGCUCGUGCCGUGAGGUGUUCGGCUUAAGUGCCAUAACGAGCGCAACCCUUUUCCCUGUUUGCCAUCGGGUAAUGCCGGGCACUCCAGGGAUACUGCCAUCGUAAGAUGUGAGGAAGGUGGGGAUGACGUCAAAUCAGCACGGCCCUUACGUCCGGGGCUACACACGUGUUACAAUGGGCGGCACAGAGGGCAGCGACCGCGCGAGCGGCAGCCAAUCCCGAAAUCCGCUCUCAGUUCGGACUGGAGUCUGCAACCCGACUCCACGAAGCUGGAUUCGCUAGUAAUCGCGCAUCAGCCAUGGCGCGGUGAAUACGUUCCCGGGCCUUGUACACACCGCCCGUC
rnacentral:rRNA from 1 species